rnacentral:rRNA from 1 species
GAACGCUGGCGGCGUGCCUAAUACAUGCAAGUCGAGCGAACAGAUAAGGAGCUUGCUCCUUUGACGUUAGCGGCGGACGGGUGAGUAACACGUGGGUAACCUACCUAUAAGACUGGGAUAACUUCGGGAAACCGGAGCUAAUACCGGAUAACAUUUGGAACCGCAUGGUUCUAAAGUGAAAGAUGGUUUUGCUAUCACUUAUAGAUGGACCCGCGCCGUAUUAGCUAGUUGGUAAGGUAACGGCUUACCAAGGCRACGAUACGUAGCCGACCUGAGAGGGUGAUCGGCCACACUGGAACUGAGACACGGUCCAGACUCCUACGGGAGGCAGCAGUAGGGAAUCUUCCGCAAUGGGCGAAAGCCUGACGGAGCAACGCCGCGUGAGUGAUGAAGGGUUUCGGCUCGUAAAACUCUGUUAUUAGGGAAGAACAAACGUGUAAGUAACUGUGCACGUCUUGACGGUACCUAAUCAGAAAGCCACGGCUAACUACGUGCCAGCAGCCGCGGUAAUACGUAGGUGGCAAGCGUUAUCCGGAAUUAUUGGGCGUAAAGCGCGCGUAGGCGGUUUCUUAAGUCUGAUGUGAAAGCCCACGGCUCAACCGUGGAGGGUCAUUGGAAACUGGGAAACUUGAGUGCAGAAGAGGAAAGUGGAAUUCCAUGUGUAGCGGUGAAAUGCGCAGAGAUAUGGAGGAACACCAGUGGCGAAGGCGACUUUCUGGUCUGUAACUGACGCUGAUGUGCGAAAGCGUGGGGAUCAAACAGGAUUAGAUACCCUGGUAGUCCACGCCGUAAACGAUGAGUGCUAAGUGUUAGGGGGUUUCCGCCCCUUAGUGCUGCAGCUAACGCAUUAAGCACUCCGCCUGGGGAGUACGACCGCAAGGUUGAAACUCAAAGGAAUUGACGGGGACCCGCACAAGCGGUGGAGCAUGUGGUUUAAUUCGAAGCAACGCGAAGAACCUUACCAAAUCUUGACAUCCUUUGAAAACUCUAGAGAUAGAGCCUUCCCCUUCGGGGGACAAAGUGACAGGUGGUGCAUGGUUGUCGUCAGCUCGUGUCGUGAGAUGUUGGGUUAAGUCCCGCAACGAGCGCAACCCUUAAGCUUAGUUGCCAUCAUUAAGUUGGGCACUCUAGGUUGACUGCCGGUGACAAACCGGAGGAAGGUGGGGAUGACGUCAAAUCAUCAUGCCCCUUAUGAUUUGGGCUACACACGUGCUACAAUGGACAAUACAAAGGGCAGCUAAACCGCGAGGUCAUGCAAAUCCCAUAAAGUUGUUCUCAGUUCGGAUUGUAGUCUGCAACUCGACUACAUGAAGCUGGAAUCGCUAGUAAUCGUAGAUCAGCAUGCUACGGUGAAUACGUUCCCGGGUCUUGUACACACCGCCCGUCACACCAGCGAGAGUUUGUAACACCCGAAGCCGGUGGAGUAACCAUUUAUGGAGCUAGCCGUCGAAGGUGG